rnacentral:rRNA from 1 species
GAUGAACGCUGACAGAAUGCUUAACACAUGCAAGUCAACUUGAACUUCGGUUUGGGUGGCGGACGGGUGAGUCACGCGUAAAGAACUUGCCUCACAGAUAGGGACAACAUUUGGAAACGAAUGCUAAUACCUGAUAUUAUGAUUAUAUGGCAUCGUAUAAUUAUGAAGGCUAUAUGCGCUGUGAGAGAGCUUUGCGUCCCAUUAGCUAGUUGGAGAGGUAACGGCUCACCAAGGCGAUGAUGGGUAGCCGGCCUGAGAGGGUGAUCGGCCACAAGGGGACUGAGACACGGCCCUUACUCCUACGGGAGGCAGCAGUGGGGAAUAUUGGACAAUGGACCAAGAGUCUGAUCCAGCAAUUCUGUGUGCACGAUGAAGUUUUUCGGAAUGUAAAGUGCUUUCAGUUGGGAAGAAAAAAAUGACGAUACCAACAGAAGAAGUGACGGCUAAAUACGUG